GUGAGUCAUCGAAUCUUUGAACGCACCUUGCGCUCCUUGGUAUUCCGAGGAGCAUGCCUGUUUGAGUGUCAUUAAUAUAUCAACCUUCUCUUUUUGAGUGGUUGGAUGUGGGGGUUUGCUGGCCUCUUAAAAGGUCUUGGCUCUCCUGAAAUACAUUAGCAGAACAACCCUGUUCAUUGGUGUGAUAACUAUCUACGCUAUUGAAUGUGAAGGGCAGUUUGGCUUUCUAACAGUCCUUGGACAAGCUCAUCAUUAAUGUGACCUCAAAUCAGGUAGGACUACCCGCUGAACUUAAGCAUAUCAAUAAG
rnacentral:rRNA from 1 species